rnacentral:ncRNA from 1 species
AAAAACAUUAGAAAAAGAUGAGUAAUCAGUGCUAGAACUAUCAUAGAGAGCCGGUAUGCUGAAAAACGGUAUAGUUCUAACUGAUGAAGAUGGUCUUUAGUGAUUCUGAAGAUAGUGAGUUUUGAGAAGUUAAAAUAAGCUAUCUACGCUUGAUAUUCGUUAUCAUAUCUAAGCAUAGCUCUUUCUAAGUGUGCUUAUUGAGGGUAGCACUGUGAUGUGCUACUGAAUCAGGGUGGUACCACGUGAAAACAACUCGCGUCCCUAGG